rnacentral:rRNA from 1 species
CAGCAGCAGCCGCGGUAAUACGAAGGGUGCAAGCGUUACUCGGAAUUACUGGGCGUAAAGCGUGCGUAGGUGGUGGUUUAAGUCCGUUGUGAAAGCCCUGGGCUCAACCUGGGAAUUGCAGUGGAUACUGGGUCACUAGAGUGUGGUAGAGGAUAGUGGAACUUCCGGUGUAGCAGUGAAAUGCGUAGAGAUCGGAAGGAACAUCUGUGGCGAAGGCGACUAUCUGGGCCAACACUGACACUGAGGCACGAAAGCGUGGGGAGCAAACAGGAUUAGAUACCCCAGUAGUCCCUGUCUCUUAUAC